GCCUUCCUGCAAGGACUCUUCACUUUCUAUCACCAUGGUUAUGAACUGGCCAAGGAUUUUGGCGACUUCAAGACACAAUUGACCAUCAGCAUACAGAAUACAAGAAAUCGCUUUGAAGGCACCAGGUCAGAAGUGGAAUCACUGAUGAAAAAGAUGAAGGAGAACCCCCUUGAGCACAAGACCAUCAGUCCCUACACCAUGGAAGGAUACCUCUAUGUUCAGGAGAAACGUCACUUUGGAACUUCUUGGGUAAAGCACUACUGUACAUAUCAACGGGAUUCCAAACAAAUCACCAUGGUACCAUUUGACCAGAAGUCAGGAGGAAAGGGGGUGAGUUCAUUUUUUUGAAUUUCGGGC